rnacentral:rRNA from 1 species
UACGUAGGGGGCAAGCGUUGUCCGGAAUCAUUGGGCGUAAAGCGCGUGUAGGCGGCCCGAUAAGUCCGCUGUGAAAGCCCAGGGCUCAACCCUGGGAUGCCGGUGGAUACUGUCGGGCUCGAGUCCGGAAGAGGCGAGUGGAAUUCCUGGUGUAGCGGUGAAAUGCGCAGAUAUCAGGAGGAACACCUAUUGCGAAGGCAGCUCGCUGGGACGUAACUGACGCUGAGACGCGAAAGCAUGGGGAGCGAACAGG